AGGACGAACGCUGGCGGCGUGCUUAACACAUGCAAGUCGAGCGGUAAGGCUCCUUCGGGAGUACACGAGCGGCGAACGGGUGAGUAACACGUGAGCAAUCUGCCCUUCACAUCGGGAUAACCCCCCGGAAACGGGAGCUAAUACCGGAUACGACCACUUCAGGCAUCUGAUGGUGGUGGAAAGUUCCGGCGGUGAAGGAUGAGCUCGCGGCCUAUCAGCUAGUUGGUGAGGUAACGGCCCACCAAGGCGACGACGGGUA
rnacentral:rRNA from 1 species